rnacentral:rRNA from 1 species
UACGUAGGGGGCAAGCGUUGUCCGGAAUCAUUGGGCGUAAAGAGCGUGUAGGCGGGCCGGAAGGUCUGGUGUGAAAGCCCGGGGCUCAACCCCGGAGGGUCACUGGAAACCAACGGCCUUGAGUCCGGAAGAGGAGAGUGGAAUUCCUGGUGUAGCGGUGGAAUGCGCAGAUAUCAGGAGGAACACCUAUGGCGAAGGCAGCUCUCUGGUACGUGACUGACGCUGAGACGCGAAAGCGUGGGGAGCGAACAGGAUUAGAUACCCUGGUAGUCCACGCCGUAAACGAUGGGCGCUAGGUGUGGGUGGUGUCGACUCCAUCCGUGCCGAAGCUAACGCAUUAAGCGCCCCGCCUGGGGAGUACGGCCGCAAGGCUAAA